AAAGAUACCCCGGUAGUCCACGCCGUAAACGAUGAGUGCUAAGUGUUAGAGGGUUUCCGCCCUUUAGUGCUGCAGCUAACGCAUUAAGCACUCCGCCUGGGGAGUACGGCCGCAAGGCUGAAACUCAAAGGAAUUGACGGGGGCCCGCACAAGCGGUGGAGCAUGUGGUUUAAUUCGAAGCAACGCGAAGAACCUUACCAGGUCUUGACAUCCUCUGCCAACCCUAGAGAUAGGGCGUUCCCCUUCGGGGGACAGAGUGACAGGUGGUGCAUGGUUGUCGUCAGCUCGUGUCGUGAGAUGUUGGGUUAAGUCCCGCAACGAGCGCAACCCUUGAUCUUAGUUGCCAGCAUUCAGUUGGGCACUCUAAGGUGACUGCCGGUGACAAACCGGAGGAAGGUGGGGAUGACGUCAAAUCAUCAUGCCCCUUAUGACCUGGGCUACACACGUGCUACAAUGGAUGGUACAAAGAGCUGCGAACCCGCGAGGGUAAGCCAAUCUCAUAAAGCCAUUCUCAGUUCGGA
rnacentral:rRNA from 1 species